CUCUAAAAAUGGCUGGGUUAUUUUUUAACCCAAAAUGCUGGGUUGAGUCUGUUGGGUUGUUUUGCUGGGUUAAUUUUUAACAUUUUAAACACUUUUUGGGUAGUUUCAGUUUUCUGGUUGUUGGGUUAAAACUGCUGGGUUAUUAUACUGGGUUGUUUGAAGAGGCUCACGUGCUUCGCGCCUUUGAUGUUUGAAUGUGCUCAGCAACGGUCGUCGUGAAAGGACAGAGUCACUGGAAGCAGUUGUUUCAAGAGAGUGCAGAGUUUUUAUGUCCAUCCAUUAAUGAGGCUAGCAAGGCCUUCAUACAACUUCAGCCAAUUGCAACAAAUGUGGUGGAAGUUCUUCUCUGGACAGAAUCCUCGAAAUCCUUUCCUUUAUUUCCUGGCCAUGGGAAACAUGCAACAGAUCUCUCAAUCUUUUUUGUCUAUCAGUCUCUCUGAUGGAGCCAAUACGGAAGUGACUUAAACUGCAAUUCGGCCAAGAUGGCGACGGCACGCACCGCCUACUUUAGGCUUCAAAAAUGCUCUUCACAACCAAUGGGUGACAUCACGGACACUACUUUCAUAUUUUUUUACAGUCUAUGGUUUAAAGGCAUUUUACGUGCUUGAAAAUAAAUACCCCAGGCAAUGUGCAUCUACUGUAGUCUGUCAUUUUCCAAAUGGAUGAAUCCUCUGCUGUUCGGUUCCUUUGUACAUCUUUGUUCGUGAGGAGUAACUUUAAUAAAUGAAGUAUUUUUAGUCAAAUACAUUCCAUACUCUGAAACUUGGAACAUCUGUUCUGUAAAAAACUUUACACAUCUGUAAAUGAUUUUACUUUUAAUUUAACAAUUACAUUGUUUAUUUUCUUACACUGCUGCAGUUUUAUUU